rnacentral:lncRNA from 1 species
AUUUUCUUUCAUUGUCUUUCCCUGACCUGGAAUCUCCCAGAGGUCCUCAGAUCGCUGGCUGAAAACCAGAAGGCAGGAUAUGUGGGAAAACAAUAUUGUGAAGCUCUUAAUGUUCCCUUUGAAGAGAGCAUCAGGAUAGACCCCAAUCUUUUCCUGGAUUCUGGUGAACCACAAAAGUCUCUUCUGCGUGUGCCACACUGCACUCAGAGCUCCCUGAUGGCAG